rnacentral:lncRNA from 1 species
GUUUAGGUAUGUUAAUGCUUUUAGUGGAUGAUAUUAAGGUAUAUAAACACGGAGCUCUGUCUUUAAACUAGGCAUCCUUCACUAAAAAAAAUAUAUUAUUUCAUAAUUUACUCACCCUAAUUCCAUUCAAACUUGUGUGUCUUUCUAUAUUCUGUAGAACAUAAAAUAAGAUAUUUUAAAGAAUGUUGGUAACCAUACAAACCAGACCAAAGUUGUGGUAGCCAUUCAUUUCCAUUGUGUGAACAAACAACAUUUCUCAAAAUAACUUCAUGAGGGUGAGCAAACAAUGACAGAGUGUUCAUGAAGUAUCUCUUUAAAUACUAAAAAGUUAUGCAAUGCCACAGCUAAUAAUUAGAUUAUUAGUUUUCUUGUUACUAAUAAUUUUUAAAUAAACUUUACUAAAUUUAGUUCUUUUUUUUUAUUGUUGUUGAAUUUAGAAUUUUUUAUACAUUGUAGCUCUGAAAUGGCCCCAUGCUGCCAUAAGGACCCUGACCGUCAAGGACCCCUGUUAAAAAUCUAACACAUGACACAUAAUUCAAGCAGUUUCUGACCUAAUAAGCUUUAAAGCAAACACAUCCAAGUGAUUUUCUAAGAGAAACCCAUAGAGACUUGCUUUGUACACCUCAGAAUGUUUUUUUCUGCCAUCAGAUCAGUGGCGUCACAGUGUGACCCGAGGGGAAGAGGAAAGAUGAAGAGCUGACAGCCUGACUCUGCUUUGACCUCACCCCAGCUUCCUUUAUUGCUCACUGGUUGCCAUAAGAACGGCAAAGCAUCACAUGCUUUCUUCAUUUAGGAGCUGCACAGGGAGUGAGUACUGCCACAACAAUGUGAUAGAAAUGUGUGAGUGGUUUUUAUUAUGCUUACAUUUUUCUGGCUUGUUAAAAGUAUUAUUAUUCUAACAUAGUUGUUCUAGUGACUCAUGCAUCAUCUUUUUUGAGCGAUUCUUCAAUUAGAAAAAUUUUCUAUCCACUGUGAUGAAUUUUAAUGAAAAAUGUUUUCACAAAAAAAAAAAAGAAAAGAAAGAAACAUAAUAAUAAUAAUAAUAAUAAUAGCUUUAAAC